GAUGAACGCUAGCGGCAGGCCUAAUACAUGCAAGUCGAACGGAUAUAUGUUUUUCGGAAUAUAUAUUAGUGGCGCACGGGUGAGUAACACGUACAUAACUUGCCCUCAAGCGGGGGAUAGCCUUGGGAAACUGAGAGUAAUACCCCAUAGAAUUAUUGGACGGCAUCGUUUGAUAAUUAAAACUACGGUGUUUGGGGAUAGAUGUGCGUCUGAUUAGCUAGUUGGUGAGGUAACUGCUCACCAAGGCGACGAUCAGUAGGGGGCGUGAGAGCGUGGCCCCCCACACGGGUACUGAGACACGGACCCGACUCCUACGGGAGGCAGCAGUAAGGAAUAUUGGUCAAUGGAGGGAACUCUGAACCAGCCAUGCCGCGUGAAGGAUGACGGCCCUCUGGGUUGUAAACUUCUUUUGGAUGGGGCGAAAAAACGGGNUUUAUCCUGGACUGACGGUACCAUCAGAAUAAGCACCGGCUAACUCCGUG
rnacentral:rRNA from 1 species